GACGAACGCUGGCGGCGUGCUUAACACAUGCAAGUCGAACGGAAAGGCCCUGCUUUUGUGGGGUGCUCGAGUGGCGAACGGGUGAGUAACACGUGAGUAACCUGCCCUUGACUUUGGGAUAACUUCAGGAAACUGGGGCUAAUACCGGAUAGGAGCUCCUGCUGCAUGGUGGGGGUUGGAAAGUUUCGGCGGUUGGGGAUGGACUCGCGGCUUAUCAGCUUGUUGGUGGGGUAGUGGCUUACCAAGGCUUUGACGGGUAGCCGGCCUGAGAGGGUGACCGGCGACAUGGGGACUGCGAUACGGCCCAGAGUCCUACGGGAGGCAGCAGUGGGGAAUAUUGCACAAUGGGCGGAAGCCUGAGGCAGCAACGCCGCGUGCGGGAUGACGGCCUGCGGGUUGUAAACCGCUUUCGCCUGUGACGAAGCGUGAGUGACGGUAAUGGGUAAAGAAGCACCGGCUAACUACGUG
rnacentral:rRNA from 1 species